UACGAAGGGGGCUAGCGUUGCUCGGAAUCACUGGGCGUAAAGCGCACGUAGGCGGAUUGCUAAGUCAGGGGUGAAAUCCUGGAGCUCAACUCCAGAACUGCCUUUGAUACUGGCGAUCUUGAGUCCGGGAGAGGUGAGUGGAACUGCGAGUGUAGAGGUGAAAUUCGUAGAUAUUCGCAAGAACACCAGUGGCGAAGGCGGCUCACUGGCCCGAUACUGACGCUGAGGCACGAAAGCGUGGGGAGCAAACGGG
rnacentral:rRNA from 1 species